rnacentral:rRNA from 1 species
UACGUAGGGUCCGAGCGUUGUCCGGAAUUACUGGGCGUAAAGAGCUCGUAGGUGGUUUGUCGCGUUGUUCGUGAAAACUCACAGCUCAACUGUGGGCGUGCGGGCGAUACGGGCAGACUUGAGUACUGCAGGGGAGACUGGAAUUCCUGGUGUAGCGGUGGAAUGCGCAGAUAUCUGGAGGAACACCGGUGGCGAAGGCGGCAUCCUGGACCGACACUGACACUGAGGAGCGAAAGCCAGGGGAGCAAACGGG